rnacentral:lncRNA from 1 species
AUCAGCAAGAGCCUGAACCAUGCACACCUCAGAACAAUCAUAAAGAGCCUGAUCCGGACGCAUCAGAACUAGUACAACUUUUGGACCGAAGUCAGCUUCCCAGAUUAAACCCCUCCAACGCUGCUGAUCAAGCCAAUGCAGAAGCCACUAUGAGAAAAGCACGAGUCUCAGUCCGUGCUAGAUCAGAAGCCCACAUGGUAUAGUAUAUUAGUGUGCAUCGAUAAUAGAAAUCUAAUUCAAUUAUAUCAUUGAUUACUUAUAGCUGAAUUGAUUAACUAAUUGAUCACAAUUGCAGAUCAAUGAUGGAUGCCAAUGGCGAAAAUACGGACAAAAAAUGGCUAAAGGAAACCCUUGUCCUCGUGCGUAUUAUAGAUGCACAAUGGCUCUUGGUUAAGUAUAUAUUUUGGAGUUCUUCAUUGCAGGAAGGAAGUAGAUGGAGACAUUACUUUAAUUAAGUAUAUCUUCCCAACAUAUUGUUAGUUUAGCUUGUUAAGUUCAUGUACAUUUAUACUUUUUGCUUUCCUUUUAAUGAGCCGGGCCCAUCUGUCUUUCUUCUGACUGUAUUAUUUACUUUUAGUGCAAUUUGUGUAUAGUGAUCUUAAUAUUAAUAAGAAUUUGAGAUUGAAUCAAUUGUUUGUGUUUUACUAUUGAUCUACCCAGACUUCACUAUUCAGCAACAUUUAUGCAACAAAUUUUCUGCAAUUCCAAUUAAAACUAUUAGCUACAGAUUGGCUACUAAUUAGCUUCAAAUUAAUAACAUUUAUGUAACUGAAUUUCUGCGAUUGCAACCUAAACUGUUAGCUAUAGAUUGGCUACAAAUUUGCUACUAAUUAGCUACUAAAUGAGACAAUUUUUAAGUGUUGCAAGUUUUACUCUCAAAUGUUACUGAAAUCAUUUAGUAACAUGGGCUUUACCUAACAUUUGUCAAAUGUUACAAGAUCUAAAUAGUAACAGUUGUUUUUGAUUUAGUUACAAUUUUGAAGUGUUACUAAAUCUUAUAUAUGUAGUAGUGUAAUUACAAAACAAUACAUAAUUUUAAACCAAACCUAUAUCACAAUAAACCUAAUUAUCAAUUGAAAUUCCAAUACACAUGAAUUUGAUUAAUUGAAUUGAUAUUGCAAGUAAUUGAUCCAAGUAAAAUAGUUUUAACCUAAAUCAAAUGGAUUUAGAUUAUUCUUUUGAGAAAGCACUACUUAGAUCAAAACUAGCAAUUCACUAAUCAAUUAAUCAAGUGCUAUUAAAAGCAUAUUUGUUUUCAACCAAAACCAAAGUUAUAUAUAGGUUAAAUUGCAUUUUUGGUCCCUUGACUAUUUAGGUAGUAUCAACCACCAUGAACAACAACAUCUGAUGUGGCGAUUAAAAAUUAAAAAAUGAAUUUUUAAAUUUCAAAAAUCAAUUAUAGUAUUAAAAAAUAUAUAUAUUUUAAUUAAAUUUAAAAAAAAAAAAAAAAAAAAAAAGACAUACGAGAAUGGGAGGAAUUGGGUUUCUUCACCCAUUCUUCUUCCUAUAAUCAUUUGAUUUGAUUUUUAAUCUUCAAAUCACCUAAUUCAUUUUUCGUCAUAUGAAGCAAGCAUUCAAUUUCAUGAAAAAUGGUAUCCAAGGAAAAGGUUUGGGUGAGAAACUCCAGAAGCAAUUGUUCUUAUAGAUCUGUCAUAUGAAAACGUUAUAAAUCUUCAGAAGCAAAAUCCAGAAAUACAAACCCAGAAAAGUGCUCCUAAACUCUAAAUUCCAGAAGCACGGUUGGUAUCGUAAAUCGUUCAUCUUCUUCAUAUGAAAAGUAAACCCAAAAAAGCAAUCCCUAAAUUUCUUCAACAUAAACCCAUAAAACUUUACAACAGAAACCCACAAACUUAUAGAUCUAUCAAUCAAUUCUAAUCUACAACACAAACCCAAAAAGAUAAAAGAUCUAUCAAUCAAAGUUGCAGAAUGGAUAGUGGGUUGCUGUUUUCUAGAGGGAGAAUGAAGUUGUUGGUUGUAACAACCUAUUUAAUUAUUAGAUUAUUUUAUUGAGUUUAAAGUCUAUUUUAUGUGAUUUAUAUGAUUUUUUGGUGAUGUCUUGUUGAUUUAUUAAGUGGCUUAUUUUUAUUAUUUAAUAGAAUAAGAUUUGAAAAUAAAAUAAUAUUGAGAUGAGGGGCUGUUUUGAGAAUUUAGAGAGUUUAGUGGAAUAAGUGGAAAUAAGAUAAAGAGGGUUGAGGAAAUAAAUAGGAGAAAAUAGGUCAUAAUAGUUUUCACGUAAAACAAGUUUUGGAGAAAAGGGAUAAAACAAGAGAAGAGAAGAACCAAAGAGGAGAGGCUGCCGAUCAUUAAUCAUAAGGUAAUGAUGGGACUAAUUCUGAGUAUGUGAUUCUGAAAUUGAAUUUAACAUGGUUGUAAGUUGAAGUUUUAGAAUUUGAGAAUUAGGGUUAAAAUUGGAGAAUUAAUCGAUUAGAUGAUUGAAACAUGUUGAAUUAGUAUAGAAACUGUGUACAUACCUCUUUUCACAAACACCUCUUUCAACUCACGUUGAAAAUCUUUUCUUUAUUUUUUAAUAUUAUAUUUCAAUAUAUUUUUUUCUCUUAUCAUUUUUUGUGGUUGAACAUAUUACCUGUUUAGGCAUUCAUGUGUAAUGACACUUGGCCACUUUUAUUUUGUAACCUUUGAUUAUACACAAAAAAAUUCACAUCAAUUGACAAUUCAAUUUGACAUCACUUCCUAAUUAUAUUUUUAAUAACUCAAUAUUAAUAAUUAAAAACUGAGUUUUUCUAUUUACACCCCAUGUUUUUCUGGUUACACCCAAAUUUUCUUAAAAGUUUUUUAUAAUACCAAAAUUGCCCUUUUAUAUAAAUUUUCUUAAAACCCUAAUUUUAUUCAUUGUGAGUUUCACCCUCUUUCACCCCACAAUCGAUCAAACAAUUUGAUGUUCAAUAUCAAUCUCCAUGAAAAUUAAAGAGUGAAUCAAAAUAUUUUUCAUCCAUACUCAAUUGGAUAUAAGUAAGUGAAUUUCUUCUUCUAUUUGCUAGUUUCAAUUUUUUCCCUUCAACUGCACUGAUGCACUGUACGAUUACGGUUUUAAUUUACAUUGGCAAGGUUAACUUAAAUUGAGUUUACAUGAACCUACUUAAACUGAGUUAACAUGAACCUACUUAAACUGAGUUUACAUGAACAUACUUAAACUGAGUUUACAUGAACCUACUUAAACUGAGUUUACAUGACCUACUUAAAUUUAAAUUGAGUGUACAUGACCUAACUUACAUAAACUGAGUUUACAUGAACCUACUUAAAUUAAGUUUACAUGAACCUACUUAAACUGAGUUUACAUGUGCAUUCUUAAACUGAGAUGACGUAUAAUCAUUGAAUAAGAUUGAACUUUUAGAUGUACACUUAAACUAAGUUUGCAUGAUCUACUUAAAUUAAGUUUACAUGACCUACUUAAACUUAGUUUACAUGAACCUACUUAAACUGAGUUUAAGUUGGUACACUUACUUAAAUUUAGUUUACAUGAACUCAGUCUACAUGACCUACUUAAACUCAGUUUACAUGAACCUACUUAAACUGAGAUUAAGUAUAUACACUUAAACUCAGUUUAUAUGACCUACUUCAACUUAGUUUUAGAUUAAAUUUUAUGAAAGGGUAAUCUUGUUAUUUUGGGGUGCAACUAUGAUUAACUAGGGUGCAAGUAGAAAAACUCUUAAAAACUUCACUUCCUAAUUAUGUAUAUAUUUUUUAGGGGUUCGUACUUCAUAUCAUAUAUUUGACUUCUACACAUAUCUUAUCUAAUAUUAAUUUUAAGGGUUAAUUAAGUUUUUAGUCCCUAUAAAUAUUCACAGUUUUGUUUUUAGUCCCUACAAAAUAAAAUCACAUUUUUUAGUCCCUACAAAAUAAAAUCACAUUUUUUAGUCCCUGCGACAUUUUCCUUAAGCAUUUUAGGGACCAAAAAUGUUGAUGAAAUUUUUUUAUAGGGACGAAAAAUGCUGAUGUAAAAUUUUAUAGAGACCAAAAGCACCAACCAAAAUUUUUAUAGGGACUAAAAAAUGAAAUUUAUUUUUAUAGGAACUAAAAACAAAACUGCAGAUAUUUAUAGGAACCAAAAACUUAAUUAACCUCAAUUUUAAUAAAGUACAAAACCCAACUUAUUAUAAACCACUCUUCUUAAGUGUCACCAUUCUUUAAUUCCACAUCAUCAAUAAAGUAGUAAUUUUAUUUUUCCUAUUAAGCAUUCACUUAUAUACCCACAUUGAAAUUAUCAUGCCUCAAUCAGUGUUGGUUUUUUUUUUUUUUUUACAAAUACCUCAAUCAGUGUUUAACUUGCCUCAAAUAUGAUUUCUUACAAAAAAAAAAAAAAAAAAAAACCUAAAAUAUAAAAUAAAAUCAUUUCAGUAUAUAAAAAAAACCCUCGGUGGAGAGAACUUAUGAAUAAACUAAAAAAAAUAUAUUUAGGUAAAACUACUCGAAAUUUAUAUUUUUUUUGUGGUAUCAGGGGUUUGAACCCCACUCGAAAUUUAUAUAAAAUAAAAUAAAAAAUAUCAAUUCUUAAAAUUUGUUCUAAAAUUCAAAACUUGCAUUUUCUAUACAUCAUCACUUCAUCCAAUAUCACAUUCAUUUCCAUCAUAUGAAAAGUAAAAGUCACAUGGAUAAUUACUACAAAAAAAAAAAGGAUAAUUACUACAACACACCAAUUUAUAAGGUGCGGAUGUAUUUAUUUAUUUUGUUAAAACAACAAUCAAUUGUGGAAAGCAUUUCUAAUCAUCUCUUAAGUCAAACUUGAAGAAUCUACUAUCUACCUUUAGAUCAACAGCCGACGUUGUCGUAGCAGGCUAGAGAACGACGACGGCUGUUUAGAAGAGUAGUGUACUUGCAAAUAUUUCAACCUUUAAAUUAGGUUAUGAUCAAAAGCAAUGGUAGAUCCAGGACUCUGCUCUAGGAUUUCAAACUUUUGAGUUCUUGAGCUUCUUGGGUUACUAGUGCAAGAAAAAAAUAAGGGGUUCAAAAUGCAAAAUAAUGUACUUUUAAACUUUAUCAUUUGACCCUAUAUAUAUAGGACAGAUUUUAGGGUUUCAAGGUGAAAUUCGUUGGUUUUGUUGAGUUGUAUUUGACGUGGUUUGCAGAUAAGCGUUUGGUCGCCAUCAAGUGGCACUGAUGAGAUCACUAGAGUCACUAACGUGUGCCGCUAAUACGUCAUUGUAGCUUGCUACGAGGUGAUCCGGUCCAUUAGAGUAUUGAGGUAAGGGCAAUUAAUGUAAAAAAAGGUAAUUGCAGUACAUAAACUCGAUUCCAUAAAAAAAGUGUUUCACGACAAUAAAGAAACGAUUAAAUUCGAUGAAAACUAGACUCAGAUUCCUCAAGCAAGAUCCCGAUUUCGAGUUUUGUGGAUGAAAAAAUAUAUAGUUGGGUGAGGAGAUCUCAUUACAUAUGACUAGCCAAGUUCUCUGAUAAAAAUUAGUCAUUGACAAAGCUAGUAGAUAUUUUACUUCAAUAACUUGGUCGACAAGAAAAAUUAAUUCAACGUUAUUUUAUAGAUAAUAUAAUUAAUUUAAAGUUUAUGGACCACCUAUCUUUGUUUUUUUCCUUUAUAGUCAAAAGACCGAAAUAGUAUUACAUUAAGUCGUUCUCUUUUCUUAGCAAUACUACAUUAAGUUAAUAUGUCAAAUGGUGAAUAUCAUGUAAAAACAUUAAACUAGGUAACAUCUAUUUCCUUCAGGUAAUAGACAACUAGCAAUGGUUGGUUACUUAUUAUAAAACUAACACAAUCUUAUGCGACUUAUGUUUGAUUCUAUCUAUUGACGUAGUCAUACUUUGGUCCCUCACACAUAAUUAACUUUAAAGACACAUGACGUUGCUGCUUGUAUAGUUAUAGAAAAAUUUAUUUUGCUUUGGUGCAUGGUUGAAAGUAGAUUCCUCUGUCUCGAAAACUUUCGCGUUCAUGUAGUCAAAAUACUCUUUGUUGUCCGAUUUAGAUCGGACGGUCCGAAAAUUCAGAUUUCAAUUUUUUAUAUUAUAAUUUAAAAUAACAAGUUUAAACAUUGUUCGUCCGAUCUAGAUCGAACAAUCACCGACGUCUCAAAUGUGUGAAGUCAUAAAUACAGUGGAGGCAGAUACUUUUUUUUUUGAAGAAGUUAAAUUAUUUAAAUUAGCCCACCCAAAUUGACACUAAAGAGAUUCAAACCUGAGAUCUCGAGAACCCAAUCCAAGUGGAGCCAGAUACUGAAAUUGGUAUU